rnacentral:tRNA from 1 species
GCGGGUGUCGUAUAACGGCUAUUAUAUCAGCCUUCCAAGCUGAGGACGGGGGUUCGACUCCCCCUACCCGCU